UUUACAAACCUUUAGCUAGACACAAAAGUUCUCCAAGUCCCCUACCUGAUUAGCUAGACACAGAGCGCUGACUGGUGCGUUUACAAACCUUUAGCUAGACACAGUGCUGAUUGGUGCGUUUACAAUCUUUUAGCUAGACAGAAAAGUUCUCCAAGUCCCCAUCCGUCCCAGAAGCCCAGCCGGCUUCAUCUCUCACUGGCAUUGGCAGGGCAGCGGGACUUUGCGACACCUAGCCCGGGCACUCCAGCAGCCCAGAGGGAGCUCCUCCCAGACAAUCAAGAGGGAAAGAGGGGAAGCAGAAAGAGACGGAGACCUGCUAUCUUGGCCAACGAUCCCGUGAAGAGGGAACGGCGGUCUACGCAGGGAAUUCAGCUUCCUAUCAAGCCUAGCAGCUGUCACCCGCAGGUGCUGGGCUUCGUUGCUGUUUCUGGCAGAGUCCUGCUUCUCGCGCCCGCUGCACUGGGUUUGGCGUCUCUGCUGUUCGCUGAGAUCUGCACACUCCAGGAGCCAUAGGGAGGACGCCAGGACAGCCCCGAAGACGAGAAUGCCUCGCUCCUCCUAGGACGGGAGGAAAAUCCCACAAAUCCUGUCUACUCCAAGCAGCCGCGCCCCUCGGGAGACCACCCCAGUUGGAGGGGCCCACUCCAGCCACCGCUACACCGGGACGCGCUCCUCCUCCCCCUGUGCCCGCCCCUUCUCGUGAGGGACCACCAGGAGGCCCCUCGAUUCCCCAGCAAAACACAGGUUUUGGAGCCAGAGUUUCUGAGUUUGAAUGUUUGGUCUGCUACUGACCAACUCUAUGGGCUUGGGCCUGCAAAGAAAACAUCAAAGAAGAAGGUCAAAAACCAAUUACAUUCUAGGAGUGACCUUGAUGACUUAACUCUGUAAUCUGCAGCAACCUCAGAGGAUCAUGGGAUGCAUUAUGCACGUCAUGGAAUGGAUUGUAAUGUGUAACAUCUAUGAAAUCAAAGGAUGAAGAAGAUCGUGCCCAGAGCUCUCCUUGGGGGUGGAUGACAGAAUGAACAUUUACUCUGGGCUCACUGGAAAAGCUCCAACGUCUUGGAAAUUGAGUGGGUAAGCACAACCUUGAGCACAUUGUCAGCAUUCCAUUUCUUUUUUGAAUAAGAAUAUGCAGUUUUACCAAUAUCAUUGGUUCAAGAGGCUUUCCUUUCCCAGUUGUGUAUUCUUGGCACCUUUGUUGAAGAUCACUUGACUGUGUAUGUGUGCAUUUAGUUCUGGGCUCUCUUUUCUCUCCCAGGGGUUCUAAUGGGUGCCCUUAUGCUAGGACCAUGCUGUCUAAAUUUCUGUGGCUUUGUUGUAAAUUUGAAUCUUAUGAAUGUCUGUCCUCCAACACUAUUCUUUUUCAUGUUAUCAUGGCUAUUUGAGGCCAUGGGAAAAUUCAUAAAAAUAAUUUUAGGAUUAGCUUUUCCAUUUCUGCACACAUGGCCAUUACCAGUUCGAUAAUAGUUGUUUUGAGUCUGUAGAUCAUUUGUGUAAUAUUGUGUAUUAGUAAGAUUUAGACUUCCUAUCCAUGAAUACAGGAUGCCUUUUCACUUAUUUUUACCUUCUUUGCUUUCUUUCAGUAGUCUUUCUUUCUAAUCACUCUACAAGUAUUUCACCUCCUUGGUUAGGUUUAUUCCUAAGUAUUUAGUUAUUUUAGAUGUUAUUAUAAGUGGGAUUACAUUUGUCAUCUUCUUGUUGGAUCAUUCACUGUUGGUUUGUAUUAACAAACCAAUCAUUUGAAUAUUGGCCUUGUACCCUGCAACUUUGAUGUAAUUAUUAACACUAAUAGCAUUCUUGGAGAUUAUUUCUGAUUUUCUAUAUGUAGAAUGAUAGAGAAGUUCUGUUUCACACCUAUUUUCUCAAGAUAGUCUAUAUUGAUACUGUAAAGAUAUGUUCAUAUUCACCUACUGAAUGAUGUCCUUCCAAAAGGCCUUGUUAGAUUAUUCAAAAAAUAUUUUGUCAUUACAUUCCACAAUUUAAUAAAAAAUA
rnacentral:lncRNA from 10 species